CUGGUCCCGGUCCCUCGCGGGGAGAGAGGGAGACAAAAGCCGGCCACGCUCCAGCGAGUGGCCCUGUGGAAACACGUCACUGGUCUCUUCCCCAAAGAGUUCACAAUCCGGACAGACAAAGGGUGGGAGAAAUAACUAAUAUCGUCGCUUUACAGGGCGACGGAGACUUCCCUCCAGCCGCAGCCCAGGUGGCUCACCAGAAACCCCAGCCCUGCCUGGAGAAGUUUGCCCCACAACGUCGCAUCAAUCAGCACAUCCCCCAGCCCCGCAAGUGAACUGGCAGGAAGCAGCACCUGGGCCUGAAAAGGAGAGAAUGAGCACGUGAGAGAAGGCUAAAAUCAGCCCGGGGAGCAAAGCCAGACCUCGUGCUGAGCCACACAGAACAACAGCAUCCUUUGUACUUAGUGAGGCUUGAAACCAAUUCACCCUUCAUUUCUCCUUCCUCCCCCAAGGGUCAGUCAAUGUCUAGGGCUUUUAAAACUCCCUGUAAAAUAGCGAGAGCUGUGUUUUAGAAGGUAUGUUUGGGGGGGAUCAGGGAGCCGCCCUUAGUAAACGGGCGUCGUCUGUUCAUGUCUGGAGCAAUCUGGAUUGAAUUUGGAUCCCAGCCCUUGAAAUGGUGACAGCUUUCUCUGAAGCUCUCGAAGUGACAGAGGAGCAGGAGCAGUCAUCAUGCGGACUCCAGGUGGCUGAAUGGCUCCGUAGCCGGCUGUCCUGCUUUGUAUGUGGGGCAGUGGGGUCUUGUUAAUGGGGACAAGAGGUGCGUACCUGUCUGAGUUCGGAUUGGUUUUGCCUUUUGGAGGGGACCAGCUGAACCUUCAGACUAAUUACAUGGUUUCGCCUGGUCCCUUCUAAUGUCCUGGGAAUUUAUCUUCACCCCACUACGGAGCUGGCGAGCUGCUCUUUAUGGCAGGGGCUGUGUUUUAUUUCUCUUUCUGUGCCUGUACGUUUGGGAUUUUUUUUUCUACAUUUCAAACUAUCAAGUCCAUUAGCAGAAGAGUUCAGUAUUAGUCCAGAUUCAUUACUGAUUGGUUUGGUUUUGCCCUGCCCUAUGGUUAACGUAGCUUCCAGAGACUGAAUUGUGCCUCCACGUUGCUGUUUUGCCAUGUGUAUUUUGACAGACGUGUGGUCGGGAGCUGGGCUCUGAAAAUGCCUGAACUUGAGUGUCAUGUAGCUGGCUCCAGACCCCAUCUGUAAAAUGCUCAUAUGACAUGUUAGUAGUUAAACCUGGAAUCCCCUCUUCUAAAUUCAGGCAUCAGGGCCCCUUAAUCUUAAUUACUAAGAUUACCUUGACUGCAUCAUGCAUAACAAAUUCUUUCUGGUGAUCUGGAGGUUGGUUUGUUUAAUUGACUUUUAUUAAAAAAGGUUUAAAAUUGAAAUGCUCAUGAAUCCCCUGAGCUGUUAAGUAACUUUUCUUCUAAGGCUGUAAUCUGAGAAGGUUGUUAAUGGACCUUGGCUGCAACAUUCUAAAUGAAGAUCUGAACUUGCCCGAAGAUCCAGGGUUUUCAGAUUGGGACGCCUGGGUCAGAUCCACCUCUAGCAGGACAGGUUGGUUUUCCGCACCCACGCCACAGGAGACAGAUUGUAAACUGUGGCCUGGCAGGAGCUCAAUGGUCAGGCAGACUUGGAGGUCUGAUCCAGAGUGCGGUAAUUAGUAUAUUAUUGCUUUCUACGCAGUAGAGUUGCACCUGCUUAACUAGUUGGUAAAUUUGGCCUGAGAUCUACCCCUAGACUUGUGACCUCAGUGUGGCGGUGUUGCACCCUUUAGAUAUCUUAUUGCUACCUGAAGUGUGGGCCGACUUUCAAACUGGUUGAAAACUUUAGCUUUAGAGAGGAACCAUUAGUAACUUGCGUUGCUUGGUGAAAGCUGAAAUGAGCCUUAUUCUCUAGGCGCUGAAGCCUAGGUGUGUGUGAGAGUGCGAGAGAGGGGUCUCUGGUGUCGCCUGAGGUUUUGUUCCCCUGAUUCCACACACCUCAGGAUGCUGACUGACUCUCACCUGACCUGCUGUUUGUUAUUGAUGGCAUAAAGGAUAUUUUUGUUUGCUUUGUGUUCAUCCUGAUUGAUACCUGCCCAGGAGCAGAUGGCAAACUCAUGCCUCUGAGCUCUCACAGGGAAUCCACAUGUGCUCUGCAUUCGGGAAUCCAGCCAUUUCUGUCACUGCAUUCUUGUGGCUUGUUUACAGAUCUUUCAUUCACUUCUCUCUCCAUUGGUACUGCUCCCAAAAUACAGUUUUGCUCUGACCAUGUCACCCAGUUAUUUCAGUGACUUGAGAUUGGCUUGCUAACAAGGGCUGGAGACCACUCUGUAUUUCAGGAGCAGUCUGUAUUUUAUAAGACGAAUUGGAAGCUGUGGUUGUCCCUGGUAUGUGAAAAGACCUUGCAUCAUGUUAGUCCAACAUGAGGAGUUCGCCAUUAGUGAAAUGGCUCUUUGAGAGCCCAAAACUGGGCCAGAGCCUGGUGUCUCAUGCCUGUCAAGCAUCACUCAGUGUCCCAAAAAAUUACACAUACUGCUGCUGUCUCUGCCAGCAGAUCCUAGGGAUUCUCUAGUGAUGAGGUCCUUGUGCAUCAGAGAUCAGAAUCCAGCCCAGACUUUGCAAGUGCACAGGAUGCUUGCAAAAUGCUUCACAUGUACAGUUCCAGAUAUCGCUACAUGCCCGUAGUUAGUUAAGCACCUUAAUUCAUGGUUAAAAUGUUAGUUAGUUAAUGGGAUGCAAAUUACAAAAAGGCGAUUUUAAAGAAAAAAAUAUUUAAGCCUAGUUUUGUUCAUGGCCCUUUGAGUUUUUUAGGCCGUGUUGGUUAGAUCAUUUUACCGAAGUGUGUAUGUAACUGAAUAUUUUAUACGAUGUGGUUGGUCAUUUUAAAUGUCUUCGGUUAUUUCCACUUGUAAAAUAAUAAAGGUUGAUGGUCUGAGAAGCAUCUUUCUGCUUCUUUAUCAUUAGAUCCCAUCCACGUCACAGGCCAAUUUUAUUUUCCAACAGCAGUAACUCCUCCUGAUUUAACUGUUAUGUCGUUAAGGGUUAAAAAUAUCCCAGGAUAAAACUGCCAUAG